rnacentral:siRNA from 1 species
UCCGCAGGGACCAUCGCAAUG